UUACCCCUGUAUGAGGCUGCGUGCUACUGUGGGCGAUAGUCGGCAAUAGCACGGCCGUGUCACGGAUCCGGGUUCGGGGCGUGACAUUCUUGUGGUAUCAGAGCCUCAGGUUAAACAAUAGAAUAACCAUAAAAUGCCUAGGGCAAAGGAUAGUUAAGAGUGUUACCAUCAUGAAAAAUAUUAUAAUAUGCUAGUUUAU
rnacentral:lncRNA from 1 species